CUUGUGUUCCAGACUCCAUCAGUGUCCUCUUAUGGGAUUACAGUUCUUACAUGCAGGCGGUCACUCAGUAUUACUCCCAACCUGCAACAACCACCCAGGCCUACGCCAGCAAGGAGGUAGAUGUGUGCAAGCCUCUCGGAGUCUCCCUGCAUGCAGUCAGUAACGGCGCCCCCCCUCCACAGGCCGUUCUCCCAGCUGCUGCUGUGCUGCCAGCCUACAGCACCCUGCCCUUAAUGCCCGGCUUCCUCGGGGCGCCCCACCCAGCGGCGGCCGCACCGAGCCCCGUCACACACACACACUCCGCCGCCACCGACUGGAACGCCUACUACUAUAACCAGGCGAGGGGGCAUAAGAGGGAGUACCCUCAGUUGGCGAUGCAGGAAGUGACAUCAUCAGAAGGUGCCUACAUUGGACAGCACUCCCAAGGCCUCGGGGGGCAGUACGCCGAUUACUUUAAAAGGAAGAGGCUCUAGUAUGGACUGCAACUCCUUAAACCCUAAAGCUGAGGGAGGCAUGUACAGUGUCUGCAGGAUGUCACAGCUCCCUCUUGUGGCCAUUUCCUGGCUGCCAUUUUGCAUCCCGUGCAGUAGGUAUUCAGAUUAAUUUGGGAUGCAAAAUGCAUCAAGUUAAAGCAAGCCAUAGUGCUGUAUGAUGUUGGCACUUAAAUACACAUAGACACACACUCACACACACACACACACACACACACACACACACACAUACAUAAACACACACAGUGUUGCUUUUGUCCUGUUCAAGCCUUAAACUCUUUAACUUAAACUUAUCUUCUCUCAGUCUGUGUAAAUGGUUCUUAACUAAUUAUAAUCUGUACAUUUUUCUAAUGUAAUGUAAACUACAGUAUAUGUGUAUAAGCUGCUUUUGUAUAUCAAGCCAGUCUACCUGUCUGCCUUCUUAUACUGUCCAAGGACUGGUCUUUUAGUCAGGUUUCUCUCUCUCUCUCUUUCUCUCUCAAGUAUUUUCUCUCUCCCUCUCAAAGGGGAAAUGUGUCUAACGUUGCACACUCGGCUUUGAUACGUCGUUCUAACCGGCGUCUGUUUGUUCCCGCUUCACUGUCUCUCUUUCCUUUUAUCGCCUAGGUUUCUCUUUGUAUCUCCCCAUGGAGACUCUAAGUGCGUGUGUGUCUCUGUGUGUGCGUGCGUGUGUGUGUGUGUAUUUGCGUUAAUGCGUGUUGUUAUGCUGUAACUGUAGGAAGCGAUCAGCCAUUUCAGUCCCAAGGAUGGGGGCGCAUCAGGAAAAAGGGCCUGAACCAAUCAAAGCCCUUAACUGUGGAAACUGACAGC
rnacentral:lncRNA from 1 species